UGCACAGAACAAUUCACGUCUGCAGAGACCCAAGUCACCACCUCCCCACAAAAAUGAGGACUCAGUUGUAAGGAUGUUUAAGACAGCGCAGCAGACGCGUGAGGUUCAACGACGGGAUAUCCAGGAACUCUGAGCCCAUGUGAAUGAGCUGAUGAUGGUCCCUUGUACCAACGACUAAAGAAAGGUGCCCAGUGGUAAUGGUGUGAGCAGACACAGACGAAGUGUCCCAGCUAAAACAGGCCAUUGUCAAGGCUCCAGUGUUGAUCACUCCAAAUCCCGAGAUACGCGAUCGUCCAGAGAUAGCGGAACGUAUCUGCUGGACAAUCAGAGGAGCUACUCCAGUCCUAUGAAUCCCAAAUCAGAAUUCAACAUAUAUAUUUUAUCCUAACAACAUUUUAUCAAAGUAUUAAUUAAAUGUUAACGUGCUAACUUAAGACCAUGGGCAGAGACAUUAUGUAACCUGUUAACCAUUGGCUACUGUGCUAUCUUUUCUUGCGGCCAGACCUAUCCCGGAGUGUGGAACUGCCUACCCCGUCACUUUCCCCCGCCCAUGGAAAAUCCAUAUUUUCUAUUGUAAUUGAUUGACAGUGUCUCUGAACCUAAUAAGCAAGGUGACACUCCGCCCGCGCUGUGUGUAAUAAACUCCUAUGCUUGACCUCUACACAGUGUGGAUUUAUGUCCUUCAGUUUGGGGGCUUGUCCGGGAUUCAAGCUUGUGAACUGGCUGAGAAUCUGAGACUGAAAUCCAAAGGAGGGCGAGUAAUGAAGGAGGCAUGCAAGGCACUGGGAAUAAAACAAAGAUUCCAUAUACUAUACCACCCUGAAAGUUCGGGAAUGGUGGAAAGAAUGAAUAGAACAAUGAAAACAGCCUUAACAAAAGCAGUACUGGAUACAGGAAAAGGAUGCGCUCGCAUGCUUCCCUAUACUGUAUCCAAUCAAAGGCAGCCCAAAUAGGCUGACUCAACUGACACCCUUUGAGCAUGACGGUCCCCCGAAGGUCAACGCUGACUGUUGAUGGGACGCGGCUCCACCGUACUCCGCCAAUGAUGGGUAACCUAACGUGGGAUCUGGAAUGGCACUACGGCAGUAAGUAUCUAGAGGAGGGUCUACAGGCCCUGCAGACGAAGAUCGAGGAGUUGGUGGCCGAGGCCCAGAGGCAUAUUGGGGACGGCCGUCUGAGGUACACUCAGAUAGGGGAAACCGUGGACCAGGCCGAUGUGAAGUACUCGAAGGCGCGGAACUAGGCAAUGAAGAUUAAAGCAAUAAUUAUGGGCAAUGCGAUCUCAGGUAAUAAGGUCCCCUGGGGAUGAAUCUGGGUGCUAUUUUGUCAAGUUAUGUGGGGAGUGUCUAUCCUGACAUUCCUGAUGGUACUGGUGCUUUACCAGCGACUCCGCAGUAGGCUCGGUACAUUAAAAUUAGUAUAUUUGAGCUGGCGGGUUAGGGAACCCUAGGGUCAAGAGGAGGGACUGAAGGGUUAAAAUCCAUGUGCAUUUUAUAUAAACAACCUGGUAUAUGGAUUUUGCCAGCUCUUUUCCAGACCCAAAGUCCAGAGUAUGGUCAAGGGACCAAAGGCCUAGCAAAUAGCUAAGAGAAGCAGAAUAAACAAAAGAUAACUUUGCUUUGUCAAAAUAAGCCUAGUCAGCAAAUUGCCAGAUGUUAGAGCUGAGAACUAAAUAAUUGUGUCUUAUUCAGAGUUGCAGAUUGAACAAAGAAGCCCUGUUUCGGUUGUUAGUUUCUUCUGUAGGGAGACGUUCUUCUCUACAGACCUUGAGUUUAUGAAAGGAUGGCACAUAUCAGUAUAAGAUAUGGCCUCCUCCCACCUCCCUUUCCCAGGGACCAAUGCCUGCCUUAAAACACACAGGAGACAAUCUUUAUUGCCAUAUACUGUCACUGUUUCUUUGUUUUAACCCCUCGGAAUGUAUCUGCUGGACAAUCAGAGGAACUACUCCAUUCCUAUGUACCCCAAAUCAGAAUUCAACAUAUAUAUUUUAUCCUAAUAACAUUUGAUCAAAGUAUUAAUUAAAUUAAGUUCUUCUUCACACAGCGCACAGUCAACUUGUGGAAC